rnacentral:rRNA from 1 species
AACGAACGCUGGCGGCAUGCCUAACACAUGCAAGUCGAACGAGACCUUCGGGUCUAGUGGCGCACGGGUGCGUAACGCGUGGGAACCUGCCCUUAGGUUCGGAAUAACUCCCCGAAAGGGGUGCUAAUACCGGAUAAUGUCUUCGGACCAAAGAUUUAUCGCCUUUGGAUGGGCCCGCGUUGGAUUAGCUAGUUGGUAGGGUAAAAGCCUACCAAGGCGACGAUCCAUAGCUGGUCUGAGAGGAUGCUCAGCCACACUGGGACUGAGACACGGCCCAGACUCCUGCGGGAGGCAGCAGUGGGGAAUAUUGGACAAUGGGCGAAAGCCUGAUCCAGCAAUGCCGCGUGAGUUAUGAAGGCCUUAGGGUUGUAAAGCUCUUUUACCCGGGAUGAUAAUGACAGUACCGGGAGAACAAGCUCCGGCUAACUCCGUG